GGUUAAGCGACUAAGCGUACACGGUGGAUGCCCUGGCAGUCAGAGGCGAUGAAGGGCGUGCUAAUCUGCGAUAAGCGCCGGUAAGGUGAUAUGAACCGUUAUAACCGGCGAUACCCGAAUGGGGAAACCCAGUGUGAUUCGUCACACUAUCAUUAACUGAAUCCAUAGGUUAAUGAGGCGAACCGGGGGAACUGAAACAUCUAAGUACCCCGAGGAAAAGAAAUCAACCGAGAUUCCCCCAGUAGCGGCGAGCGAACGGGGAGGAGCCCAGAGCCUGAAUCAGCAUGUGUGUUAGUGGAAGCGUCUGGAAAGGUGCGCGAUACAGGGUGACAGCCCCGUACACAAAAGCGCAUGUGCUGUGAGCUCGAUGAGUAGGGCGGGACACGUGGUAUCCUGUCUGAAUAUGGGGGGACCAUCCUCCAAGGCUAAAUACUCCUGACUGACCGAUAGUGAACCAGUACCGUGAGGGAAAGGCGAAAAGAACCCCGGCGAGGGGAGUGAAAAAGAACCUGAAACCGUGUACGUACAAGCAGUGGGAGCCCCACCACCAAAGCAUUCUCUGGUGUUGAAGGCCCUGCAAAGCAGCAUCGCGGUGGCGGAGCGUCGUUUGCGACGCCCAACACACAAAACAAGCGGUGAAUGCUUUGGGGUGGGGUGACUGCGUACCUUUUGUAUAAUGGGUCAGCGACUUAUAUUCUGUAGCAAGGUUAACCGAAUAGGGGAGCCGGAGGGAAACCGAGUCUUAAUUGGGCGUUAAGUUGCAGGGUAUAGACCCGAAACCCGGUGAUCUAGCCAUGGGCAGGUUGAAGGUUGGGUAACACUAACUGGAGGACCGAACCGACUAAUGUUGAAAAAUUAGCGGAUGACCUGUGGCUGGGGGUGAAAGGCCAAUCAAACCGGGAGAUAGCUGGUUCUCCCCGAAAGCUAUUUAGGUAGCGCCUCGUGAAUUCAUCUCCGGGGGUAGAGCACUGUUUCGGCUAGGGGGCCAUCCCGGCUUACCAACCCGAUGCAAACUGCGAAUACCGGAGAAUGUUAUCACGGGAGACACACGGCGGGUGCUAACGUCCGUCGUGAAGAGGGAAACAACCCAGACCGCCAGCUAAGGUCCCAAAGUCAUGGUUAAGUGGGAAACGAUGUGGGAAGGCCCAGACAGCCAGGAUGUUGGCUUAGAAGCAGCCAUCAUUUAAAGAAAGCGUAAUAGCUCACUGGUCGAGUCGGCCUGCGCGGAAGAUGUAACGGGGCUAAACCAUGCACCGAAGCUGCGGCAGCGAACGUAUCACUUAAAGCGAUUCAGCGGGUUACGAUUGACGGAGCGAAGCGACGUCAAAGCGUAUACAAAGUCGAGUCGGUUUAAGGAUACGUUCGUUGGGUAGGGGAGCGUUCUGUAAGCCCGUGAAGGUGGCCUGUGAGGGUUGCUGGAGGUAUCAGAAGUGCGAAUGCUGACAUAAGUAACGAUAAAGCGGGUGAAAAGCCCGCUCGCCGGAAGACCAAGGGUUCCUGUCCAACGUUAAUCGGGGCAGGGUGAGUCGACCCCUAAGGCGAGGCCGAAAGGCGUAGUCGAUGGGAAACGGGUUAAUAUUCCCGUACUUGGUGUUACUGCGAAGGGGGGACGGAGAAGGCUAUGUUGGCCGGGCGACGGUUGUCCCGGUUUAAGCGUGUAGGUGUGUGUUCCAGGUAAAUCCGGUUCACUUUAACACUGAGGCGUGACGACGAGGCACUACGGUGCUGAAGCAACAAAUGCCCUGCUUCCAGGAAAAGCCUCUAAGCAUCAGGUAACAUCAAAUCGUACCCCAAACCGACACAGGUGGUCAGGUAGAGAAUACCAAGGCGCUUGAGAGAACUCGGGUGAAGGAACUAGGCAAAAUGGUGCCGUAACUUCGGGAGAAGGCACGCUGACACGUAGGUGAAGUGAUUUACUCAUGGAGCUGAAGUCAGUCGAAGAUACCAGCUGGCUGCAACUGUUUAUUAAAAACACAGCACUGUGCAAACACGAAAGUGGACGUAUACGGUGUGACGCCUGCCCGGUGCCGGAAGGUUAAUUGAUGGGGUCAGCGCAAGCGAAGCUCCUGAUCGAAGCCCCGGUAAACGGCGGCCGUAACUAUAACGGUCCUAAGGUAGCGAAAUUCCUUGUCGGGUAAGUUCCGACCUGCACGAAUGGCGUAAUGAUGGCCAGGCUGUCUCCACCCGAGACUCAGUGAAAUUGAACUCGCUGUGAAGAUGCAGUGUACCCGCGGCAAGACGGAAAGACCCCGUGAACCUUUACUAUAGCUUGACACUGAACAUUGAGCCUUGAUGUGUAGGAUAGGUGGGAGGCUUUGAAGUGUGGACGCCAGUCUGCAUGGAGCCGACCUUGAAAUACCACCCUUUAAUGUUUGAUGUUCUAACGUGGACCCGUAAUCCGGGUUGCGGACAGUGUCUGGUGGGUAGUUUGACUGGGGCGGUCUCCUCCUAAAGAGUAACGGAGGAGCACGAAGGUUGGCUAAUCCUGGUCGGACAUCAGGAGGUUAGUGCAAUGGCAUAAGCCAGCUUGACUGCGAGCGUGACGGCGCGAGCAGGUGCGAAAGCAGGUCAUAGUGAUCCGGUGGUUCUGAAUGGAAGGGCCAUCGCUCAACGGAUAAAAGGUACUCCGGGGAUAACAGGCUGAUACCGCCCAAGAGUUCAUAUCGACGGCGGUGUUUGGCACCUCGAUGUCGGCUCAUCACAUCCUGGGGCUGAAGUAGGUCCCAAGGGUAUGGCUGUUCGCCAUUUAAAGUGGUACGCGAGCUGGGUUUAGAACGUCGUGAGACAGUUCGGUCCCUAUCUGCCGUGGGCGCUGGAGAACUGAGGGGGGCUGCUCCUAGUACGAGAGGACCGGAGUGGACGCAUCACUGGUGUUCGGGUUGUCAUGCCAAUGGCACUGCCCGGUAGCUAAAUGCGGAAGAGAUAAGUGCUGAAAGCAUCUAAGCACGAAACUUGCCCCGAGAUGAGUUCUCCCUGAGACUUAGAGUCUCCUGAAGGAACGUUGAAGACGACGACGUUGAUAGGCCGGGUGUGUAAGCGCAGCGAUGCGUUGAGCUAACCGGUACUAAUGAACCGUGAGGCUUAACCUU
rnacentral:rRNA from 1 species